rnacentral:rRNA from 1 species
GAUGAACGCUGGCGGCGUGCCUAAUACAUGCAAGUCGAGCGAACGGAUGAGAAGCUUGCUUCUCUGAUGUUAGCGGCGGGCGGGUGAGUAACACGUGGAUAACCUACCUAUAAGACUGGGAUAACUUCGGGAAACCGGAGCUAAUACCGGAUAAUAUUUUGAACCGCAUGGUUCAAAAGUGAAAGACGGUCUUGCUGUCACUUAUAGAUGGAUCCGCGCUGCAUUAGCUAGUUGGUAAGGUAACGGCUUACCAAGGCAACGAUGCAUAGCCGACCUGAGAGGGUGAUCGGCCACACUGGAACUGAGACACGGUCCAGACUCCUACGGGAGGCAGCAGUAGGGAAUCUUCCGCAAAGGGCGAAAGCCUGACGGAGCAACGCCGCGUGAGUGAUGAAGGUCUUCGGAUCGUAAAACUCUGUUAUUAGGGAAGAACAUAUGUGUAAGUAACUGUGCACAUCUUGACGGUACCUAAUCAGAAAGCCACGGCUAACUACGUG